AGGGAUUCCACUGAAGACUCCAGCUUCUCGCGUUUGUACAGUUCCUCUUCCCAUCUGUGAAGACAGUACAAAGGAAUGUUGUUUCAUAAAGAAAACAAGCCGCAUGAUGGUGACGUCACACUUUUACACCACAAAAUGAGCCUGGGAAAGAAGUUGCCUUUUCUUAUCAUGGUGAGUUCAAAAAAGUUCCUUUCAUUUGAUGUCAUUUAGAUGCAAAAAAAGGUCAUUUCUUCCAUAUGUCAUGAUUUGCAUAUUUGAAAGCAUUGCUAUUGGUUGAUCUUAAAUACAGUCAUGAAACAAUUAUUAGCAAUAAUAGAAAAAAAAAAAACAAUACUUCAUUCAUAGCACUUUUGAAUCAUGUUAUCUACAAAAGAGAAGUUAACCACUUGAGGGGGACGCUGUGAGUUACCUAGUGCGCACUCGAGUUUGCCAAAACACGUCCAGUAAGGUGUGUGGGGGUAAUUAUCUCCAACACACCUUUUUUAAAGUGCUUCUGAAUCAUCAACGUUUGAGGGACAGACAGACAGACCAAUUUAUGGUUUAUUUACAGUCAACAAUUAUCCUUGAUUAUGGUAUGGUGUUUGACUUUCACUUUAGUCCUUAUAUAUUUUUUUUUUACAUAAAACCACGGUUGUUAAUCUUUUGAGCGUGUUAAGUACUUUUAUCAUGCUGCAACAUGAAAGAUCAAGUUUGGGGAAGGAGAGUGUGGGGAAGUCUUCCUUUUCCGAGGAAUUUGCCUUGUUCUUUCAAAUUUAAAGCGCAAACAGGAAAAGGCCUGCCUGUCCGGGCCGCAUUCAACUCGAGCACGUAAAAAGAAAAUAAAGAUGUUCACGGCUGGCGUAAAUCUCAUGGGUGUCUACGAGCAAAUGAAACAGCUAGACAAACAGUUUUUUUUGUGUGGCACACACACACACCUGUGGAUGACUUCACAUGGCAACAGCAACGCCAUUCAGGGGAUGUUUGCUUCAUGACCGCAACUAUUUCAAGCACAGAAUGUUCCUACAUGUUCCUAUGAAGAUGACUGGCCGCCACUUGUACAUAUACUGACUGGUCACUCUAUUAGGUACACCUGCACAGUCUUAUAGUUCCCCAACCAUUAUUGAACUAAGUCGCUUAUUUUACGCUACGUAAAGAGAAUCUCACGGAACACCGCCAAACUAAAAUCUGACAAAAAAUAAAGAAGUACACCAAGUUCAUGUACAGUAGUGUCUCUCUAUAUUGCUGACAUAGCUAGAUAAGCAAAGUUACAUUAUUUAUAGUAAGAAUUAAUUAAGGAAGAAUUCAUUUGCUAUGGAAACAAGUGAUAGUAAAAGAGAGUGAGUAUAUUUUGAGAGACUGUUAACUGUGACCGAUUGGUCUAAUUAUGGACUGCAACUGUGCAUUUCGGUUGCCCGCAACCCAAAUGAGAAAUAGACCUACGGAAAAUGAAUAGAUACACACACACACACACACACACACACACACAAUCUCGGUAUGACAUUACACACUUGCCAAACACGAUCACGGCCACGCCUUGCGCAGCAGCAUCUCCCAGAGAAAAACAGGAUUUUACAACAUAAUAGUUCAGGAGACAUCAUGCGUCGUCAGCACACGCAACGUGGGGAUCAACAGCUUUUACACGCAAACACAUCCAAACACAGCCUAUUAAAUCAGAAUUAAGACCGAUUAAGGACUCGGCUGGAUUUAGCUGAAGUCGACAAUGAACUGAAUUGUGUGUGUUUGCUUCUCAGAAACAUUUUUUGCAUCACUGGAAAGGCUUUUCAAAUAGCACAGAUGAGUCUUGUUUUCUCUCAAUUGUUGUCAAGCUGUUUAUACAUGUAAAAGAUUACAAUUGGUAGUGUAAACAUACUUUAAAAAAAAAAAAAACUGCCAAAAGAUAUCAGAAUUAGAAACACUCCUAAUGUUAGUGCUGGAAGCUGGUUCGCUUUAUUCCAAUUUUAAAACUACUUUAUACCUAUAGGAAAUAACAUCUAUUUACAUUCCUCUGUGGGCGGCUGGCGACCAGUUCAGGGUGUGUCCCGCUUACCCGCCCAAAGACAGCUGAGAUAGGCUCCAGCACGAGGAUGAAUGUAUGAAUGAAUUUAUCUAAUCUGAACGACUGUUGAGAUACCUCAGUAGGUGCUGCUGUUUUGGUUCGCAAAAGGCUUAUAUAUUAGACAUAUACAAUGAGGAAUAUUUAAGUGUUUGUGCAAAAAUGAACUUUCCGAGUCAAACAUAUUGAUAGUCGACAUGUGGUCCCGUGCAGGUCAGUAGCCCAGACAGAUAACCUCAUUUGGGAGGUUUAAUCUUUUCUCACCUUCACAGGCCGUCGGGCAAUUUAUCUAAAGCCUGCGGCACACGGAGCAGUGUGGCCGAAUGCGACCAAACCGGACAAACAAAUUACAGUCGGCGACUCACAGCCGCACACCAGGCGAUUACCGUACAAAUCGCACAUAUAGUCAACUUAUACACAUAUAAACACUGCCCUGAGCUCAACUUUGCAGCAGGCAGGAAGUGCUCCAGUCCCAGCCAGGACGGAGGUCGGAGCCUCCAACACGAGCCGAAGGCUUAAGAGAAAAUCUCUUUCCUGAAUAGAACCGUCUGGAUUAUUGGCAGAGUGGCAGCAACAUCAGAUUUGGACCACUUUGCAGUGUAACCAGUCAGCUGUCUGUUUUUUAAAAAAUCAAAUGCUGAGCUUUAACCUCUUGAAAAAUACGGCAAAUGAGUCUCUUCGCUCAAUUCAUCGAUAUUGAUCAGCACACAUCCACAGCUAAAAUCAGCCAUGUUCAAUAAUUCAUGCAGACAGAAAAUAACCAGGAGGCAGGCGGCGGACAGACUCCAUAGUUCACGAUCCACCAUUUUCUACGUUUUACCAUCUUACACUUUCUUUUAAUACAGCAGCACUUUUUUAAUGCUUUAGAGUAGUUUGAAACCUUUCUAUAUAUGACAUGAACCACAGAAAAUGAUGACAAUCAAUGAACAUUUUUUAGAAGUCACACCCAUUUGGCCUCAGCGACAUCAGCCAUGUUAAACGCAACAAGAUUCACAGCUAGACAUAAGAUAAAAUGUUACCAGCCCUUUAAGAAUCAAUCGACAACAUUACAUUGCAGUAUUAAGUCCAUGUGGAAAAACGAUCCCCAGAUUUAUUGUUUCUUCUGCUGUCUAAUGAAAGAGCAUUUGGACUUGGAUCUAAAAUAAACUGGAAAUGCGACAUUUUACGGUGAUGUCAAAAAAAUGGCAUGCAACGUGCACGUUGUCACACACUUUUUACGAGUUUUCCAUUUUGUCACACAUUAGCAUGUGUCCUAUUAAGUAUGUGCUGAGCUGUGUGAUAUACAAAACUCGCCCUACGACACUUUUAACGUAGCAUAUGAAGGUUGUAAAUCAGCAGCUUUGUCGUCAGCCCUUGAAGAAAAUCAUGUGGGUUACAACUCUCCUGCUACUGUGAGAAAACACGUGCAUGCCUACAUAGCAUGACGUAGCAAAAUGAAACCCGGGGUUCCUCUCCUGGCUGCACAGCAUAACGCACACAAUACGAACGAGUGCCGAGAUCCAUUCUUUGAUUAGUUAGCGUACGUUGCACAUAGCAAAGCUUUAAUAAAUCAUCGGGGCGGGGAUACGGUAAUGGGACAGAGGAUGCCUUACAAAACAGCCCGCAUAAUACAGGAUUUAGGGGUGGAUGGAAUGAAGGAAUGGCAGAGCACAAAGAACUGGGAGCAGAGGGGCCUCGACGGAAUGGAAGAUGGUGGGCGUAGGGGUGGUGGAGUCUCUCGCGAGUGAAGGCUGAAACGUGACGGCAGUUAAAAAGAUUUAGACGACGGGACAAAACGAGCAGUAACAAAGCAGAGGAGACACAUUGUUGGCUCCUGGAAAGUGGCGGUGGGCUCUUGCUGCUCAACUCUGGAAUGAAUUUGGAAUAAAAUUAAACACUACCUUUUAACUUUUAAAUUUGAUUAUAAAUUAUUGUAUACUUUUUUUGUGGGGGGGGGGGGGGGGCAUGUGUAUGUAUUUGAGGGAGGCAUUUAAUUAGGCAUUAGGAGAGACAUUUUGCAGGAAUAUGGCACUUUUAUUAAAUGUUUGGUUGUUUUUCUGUUCCUUGUACUUGAGGGAGGCAAAUAUUUGUGGUUGACAGGCACAACGGAAUGAUCACUACUCAGCACAAAAUGUUUCCACCAGCAGGCUCACAUUUUUGGUCAUGAAGGAGUAUUCAGCAGUAAGAAAAUGAUUUUGGAACUCAGGGAGUGGUCUGGACAGGAUAUUCAGUUUCUCAUAAAGGGGGGAAAGAAGGAGGGGCUCAUACAUUCUGUGUCAGUGAGUCAAAGUCUUAGGAGGGAAGUAAGCAUUGGUCAUCGCUGAUCUCACAGACUGUGGAAAUGCCUCCCUGUUUGAAUCACGGCGGCAAACAUGCACAGCGCGUACGGAAGGCCACUUUGGCAAGCUUCCCGACUGGCCCGUGACAAAUAGGCCGUCAAGGAAAUCCUUGAGAGGAAUCAUGUCUUCUUUUGACUUGAAUAUAUAGAGAAGAGUGCGCUUCCAAAUUCCAAUUUGCUGUCAGUGCACACACCCUCAUGAGGAAGAACAAAAUCAGUCUGCACAAUUGCUAUAAAGUGCUUACACAGUCGCACACCCUCUUAUAAAUUCAGAGGUGCGGCCUUCCUGUGUGAAGUUUGCAUGUUCUCCCCGUGCCUCCGCCAUGCACUCCGCUUUCCUCCCACAUUCCAAAGACAUGCAUGGUAGGUUAAAUUGGCACUCUAAAUUGUCAUUGGGUGUGAAUGUUGUUUGUUUUUUACGUGUGCCGUAAACUAUUUCAGGGUGUACCCCGCUUACCGCCCAAAAUCAGCUGGGAUAGGCUCUGGCACACCCGAGAGUGUUGUUGGGUAUAAGUGGUUCACAUAAUGGAAGGAUGGAUGUUCUGGCAAGCUUUUUCUGACUUUUUAUUUGCUUUCCAUCAGAACCCAAAAGGUUUUGUAAUUUCACUGACUAGUACUAGUCUAUUUGAGGGAAGCUUUUCCUUUUCAUAUGAGUUAAUUGACAAAAAAAAAAAAAAAAAAAAACAUACCACAUAUGCUUUG